UACGGAGGUUGCAAGCGUUAUCCGGAUUUAUUGGGUUUAAAGGGUGCGUAGGCGGGAAUAUAAGUCAGUGGUGAAAACCUGCAGCUUAACUGUAGAACUGCCAUUGAUACUGUUUUUCUUGAGUAUAGUUGAGGUGGGCGGAAUGUGUAAUGUAGCGGUGAAAUGCUUAGAUAUUACACAGAACACCGAUUGCGUAGGCAGCUCACUAAACUAACACUGACGCUGAGGCACGAAAGCGUGGGGAUCAAACAGG
rnacentral:rRNA from 1 species